CCAUCCAAUAUUUUGAAAUAACAUAAACACAAUAACGAAAUUAAACUUUCUGAUAUUGUUUUAAAAUGGCAGCCAUUAAAGAAGCAUAUGAUUCCGAGUGUAAGCAAGGUAGUGAUUCAGCAGAAGCAGCAGCAUCCAAGUUGGCACCACAAAGAAAAUUGGAUGGUGAUGAGAAGAAGAUGAAGUAUUCUGAGAAAAAAACAUAAUAAUAAAAAUAAGAUUACAGGCACAACGUUGUAUGAACAGCAAAGGGAGCACGAAGCUGUCAAAUUUGAGAGCCAAAAGGAUCAGAUUGUACAGAAUGACGAUGACGAUGAUGGUUCAGGAUAUGUGGCUCGAGACCGUCAUCUCAUGAAGCAGCACGCUCAUGACCACUUCAAAUGCUUUUAGUUUUAGGAUUGUUUUUUUCUAAUUAAAUAAAUUGAGUGUUUAUCAAAGUCCCCCCUUCCUUUUUUCAUUGAAAAUUUCUCAAUCAUGUAUUUUCUUACCGGUGACUUAUGUGAUGUAUGGUAUCGUUUAGUUACAUAUUACACUAUAUAAUUACUUGUAGUGAUCUUGAAUUUAUCACAAAUUAAUUUAAUGAUAAUUGAUAAGUUCACAUGUAAUAAUUGGAAGAUCUUGUUUAAUGAUC
rnacentral:lncRNA from 1 species